rnacentral:rRNA from 1 species
UACGUAGGGGGCAAGCGUUGUCCGGAUUUAUUGGGCGUAAAGAGCGUGUAGGCGGCCAGGUAGGUCCGUUGUGAAAACUCGAGGCUCAACCUCGAGACGCCGAUGGAAACCAUCUGGCUAGAGUCCGGAAGAGGAGAGUGGAAUUCCCGGUGUAGCGGUGAAAUGCGCAGAUAUCGGGAAGAACACCCGUGGCUAAGGCGGCUCUCUAGUACGGUACUGACGCUGAUGUGCGAAAGCCAGGGUAGCGAACGGG